rnacentral:misc_RNA from 1 species
GGAAAAGGGUCGGCUUGAUGGAGGGCUUCUUGAGGUUGCGUUGGACAGAUUGGAAAGUGAAUUUCGACGGCUCUUGGUUGAAAAUACUAUUCCACUGCCAAUGUCUGAUCCAGCCUUGCCAGGUGAACAAGCAUGCAUUGCGCCCUCGCCUUUGCCAGUGAUCGUUAUCCAGAAGCUACAGGCUAUACUCGGAAGAUUGAUUGCUAAUAACAGACUCGAUAAGUGCAUAUCUAUUUAUGUUGAGGUGAGGAGUUCUAAUGUCCGGACAAGUUUGC